UUGUAUCUAUUUUUCAUGAAGAACCAAACUUGUAUUUCCGACAUCGGAACAUUACAAUCAGUGAUGCUCAGGUGGCAAGUGACUUCAAGGACCUAAAACAAGUCCUCCAAAGAACGGCCUAUAAGUCUAGUCUCAUCCUUGGACCUGACAUAGCCGGUUAUAAAGACAAGUUCAUUAAAAACUUCCUGUCCUUGGGUGGAGCCAGUGUCAUAGACGUCUUGACCAUCCAUCAUUACUACUUUGAUGGACACACCGCCAAACUCGAAGACUUUUCUGACUAUACAAUAAUGGACCGUAUUAUACCUG